rnacentral:rRNA from 1 species
ACUCCUACGGGAGGCAGCAGAUAGGGAAUAUUGGACAAUGGGCGAAAGCCUGAUCUAGCAAUGCCGCGUGAGUGAUGAAGGCCUUAGGGUUGUAAAGCUCUUUUACCCGAGAUGAUAAUGACAGUAUCGGGAGAAUAAGCUCCGGCUAACUCCGUGCCAGCAGCCGCGGUAAUA